rnacentral:rRNA from 1 species
GCAAGUCGAGGGGUAACAUUUGUGCUUGCACCGCCGACGACCGGCGCACGGGUGCGUAACGCGUAUGGAAUCUACCUUGUACUGGGGGAUAGCCUUUGGAAACGAAGAUUAAUACCCCAUGGUAAGUGUUUGUGGCAUCACAUUCAUUUUAAAGGUUACGGUACAAGAUGACCAUGCGUCCUAUUAGUUUGUUGGUAAGGUAACGGCUUACCAAGACUACGAUAGGUAGGGGCCCUGAGAGGGGGAUC